AGGGAAAUAGCCAAAUAAUGCAAGUUAUUUUAAACAUUGUAUCUUUACUUAAUCGAAUCUUGCUAGUUACAGAUCUUAUGUUUACAGUAACAUCCUUUACUUUAAAUGAUGGUUUAGCAUUAGAAGGAUUAGUGACAUGUUUUAUUAACCCAGCUACUACUGGUUGUUUAUUUUAGUUACAGGGUGGUAUAAUUGUUAUAGUCUAAUUGAUAUAAAUGAUAGUACCGCAAUAGUUAAUGUUUUAUCCAAAGACAUAUAGGAACUUUACUUAACUUACUAUUAACCAUUAUUUAUAAUGA